UAUCUUUUGUUUGUACACGGAUUAUUGGGUUGUGCAUUAUCAUGGCAUGGCCAAUCAUGGCUGAACAUUAUUGCCUUCCUUUCGUGUUCGUCGUUUUUUAUUAAUUUAUAUAUGAAGUCCAAGGUAACAAUUAAGCAAAGAAUCGACUCCCCGUAAAAGGCCCAGGACGUACGAAGUGAACUAAUUCUUCAUGGAAUUAAGUAAAAACUAAAUCUCCAAUAUGGCGUCAACUAGGUGCAAUGGCGGUAUAGAAUGAGUAGUGCGCAGCACGUACCGGCUAAUCGAUAUUGUAAACUGUAACGCGUGUAAACCAGAGAAGCCAACAGUGAAAAGUAGUGGUCUACUGCUGCAGAAGCAUGGUCAAAGGUUACAGGAUUUUGAGCACUUCCUAGAACCACACAUGGUAACUACCAGUGAUGGUAAAGUGAUAGAUGCAUUAGGAAUGGGUUCAAUUCUUAAGAAGACAAACAGAGAGACAUUUGUACUAAAUGAUGUGUGCCUUGUUCCGAAUAUCACUAAGAAUCUUUUUGGUGCUCUCAGCACAUGAUAUUAACAAAGAAAGUUGAGUUGAUUAUUGGUAGUUGUAUGAGUCACAAGGCACAACUUGCUUAUUCAGUAUCAAAGGGAAAUUACGUGUAACUAGAUACAGACAAACUCAAGGCAGUUUGUAACUAGCUGACUCAAGGAAGUCGCAUCAAUCACUGGUCACAGUUGAUAUGAUUACCCUUUACCAUGAACUCAUGGGUCAAGAUGAUAGAGAAAACAAGUCAUUGGGUGAGAACUUGAUGUAAAGUCAAAGGUCAGCGGAAGCCUAUUCGAAGGGUGCAAUUCUGGAAAGACACAAAGAAGUUUGAUGUUUAAGAAAAGACUCUCAGUCCAGGAGAAUGUAUUCACUCUGUCUGUGGUCCCUUUCCAUAAAGUUGUUCGAGGUCUCAAUAUUUCGUUCUAUUCAAAGAAGAAUUCGGCAAAUACCGUUGUGGGUACAUCAUAAAAAAUAUAUCGCAAAUACCUGAAUUACUUGAGUCUGUUGUUGGCAGAUGCAAUGGCAAGUUUAAGAAUUUCUGAGUGACAACGGAAGUGAAUUCGAUAAUAACAAAGUAUGCAAAGAAUUAGAAAAGAAUGGACAACCUCAACGACUUGUUAUGCAGAGUUGGUCAAUACUGCGUUUUUAGGACGAAGUUACAAAUAAAACAUUUAAGGAUCGUCAGUUCUAUGUUAAAGAAUAUUAUGUUCUAGGUUGCUUUCUAUUUUGGUGGAUUCACGUGGCCGCUUGCUUGUUUGCCACCUCAUUUUAUAAAAACAGUGGUUGAUUGAAUUAAUAAUAGUUUGUAGGUUUUAUGAACUAUAAUCUAAACUAUAAUCAUCAACUUUCCUUUAUCCCUAUGGAGGGUUGGCACAUUAUGUGCUCCUUUUCCAUACAUUUCUAUAGACCACCAUAUCUGAAUACACUCCCAUCACAACUUAACUAUUUACUUAAUUUUAUAAACUCUUAAUAAUAUUAACAUGUUUACUUUAGGUGAAGAACUGGGUGAAGGAACUGAGGAGGAUGCUAGGAUCUGAUAUUGUUUUAGUAAUAGCUGGGAAUAAAAUUGACCUGGAGCAUGAGCAAGCUGUGCCUACAGAGAAACCUGAAAGCUUUUCAAAAUCAGUCGGCGCUCAACACUACUACACAUCUGCAAAGGUUAACUUUGGAAUAGAGGAAUUAUUCAUUGUACUGGCGUUAUAGAAUGAGUAGUGCGCAGCACGUACCGACUAAUCGAUAUUGUAAACUGUAAUGCAUGUAAACCAGAGAAGCCAACAGUGAAAAGUAGUGGUCUACUGCUGCAGAAGCAGUGAUUAAAUACAACAAGAAUUUAAGACAGUAACUGAAACUAGAGAGUUUGGCUCUUUAAUGAUUACGAACAAUAUUACCGUUGAAGCAUUAGAUAAGGUGGUCAGGUUUUCAAGACCAAGGAUGAACUGAACCGUCUAUAUGAUGAGGUGAUUGAUGACCACCUGUAUCAUGCCUGUAUGCCCCUGUUUCAAUUGAAGAUAGACAUCUCAGAUGACAUUGCAACUCAUAUGCCUAAAGCAAAGAAUUUAGAUUUUUGAUACAUUGCUGGAGGAGUAUCUUUGCCUUAGGUCAAGUUGUAUAAUGAUGUCAAA